rnacentral:rRNA from 1 species
UGGUGGAGUGAUCUGUCUGCUUAAUUGCGAUAACGAACGAGACCUUAACCUGCUAAAUAGCCAGGCAAGCUUCGGCUUGUUGCCGGCUUCUUAGAGGGACUAUCGGCUCAAGCCGAUGGAAGUUUGAGGCAAUAACA